CCAGUUGUGGCUCAGUGUUAGAGCGCUAGCCUAACAUGUAUGAGGCACUGGGUUUGAUUCUCAGCACUGCA
rnacentral:tRNA from 1 species